rnacentral:tRNA from 1 species
GUUUUAAUAAUUUAAUAAAAAUAUUGGUCUUGUAAACCAAACUUAAGGUUAGCCUUUUAAAGCU